AGAUAUGAUCCAGAGUACCACGGGACACGUGAAACGCUGUGGGAAGCAGGAGGGACCACCCUCCAAGGCUAAAUACUAACUAGUGACCGAUAGCGUAUAGUACCGUGAGGGAAAGGUGAAAAGAACCCCGGGAGGGGAGUGAAAUAGAACCUGAACCCCUGCACUUACAAGCUGUGGAAGCACAUUUCUUGUGUGACCGCGUACUUUUUGUAGAACGGGCCAACGAGUUACGUUAAGUAGCAAGGUUAAGCACUUAAGGUGCGGAGCCGUAGCGAAAGCGAGUUUUAACUGAGCGUUCAGUUACUUGACGUAGACCCGAAACCGGGCGACCUACCCAUGAGCAGGAUGAAGCGAAAGUAAAAUUUCGUGGAGGUCCGAACCCACGAGCGUUGAAAAGCUCGGGGAUGACUUGUGGGUAGCGGUGAAAUUCCAAUCGAGCCCGGAGAUAGCUGGUUCUCCCCGAAAUAGCUUUAGGGCUAGCCUCAAGGUGAGAGAUACGGAGGUAGAGCACUGAAUGUCCUAGGGGGUAUUGCACCUACCGAAG
rnacentral:rRNA from 1 species